rnacentral:rRNA from 1 species
AGGGUUUGAUUAUGGCUCAGGAUGAACGCUGGCGGCGUGCUUAACACAUGCAAGUCGAACGGGAUCCAUCAGGCUUUGCUUGGUGGUGAGAGUGGCGAACGGGUGAGUAAUGCGUGACCGACCUGCCCCAUACACCGGAAUAGCUCCUGGAAACGGGUGGUAAUGCCGGAUGCUCCAGUUGAUCGCAUGGUCUUCUGGGAAAGCUUUCGCGGUAUGGGAUGGGGUCGCGUCCUAUCAGCUUGACGGCGGGGUAACGGCCCACCGUGGCUUCGACGGGUAGCCGGCCUGAGAGGGCGACCGGCCACAUUGGGACUGAGAUACGGCCCAG